GCUCUUCUUUAUUCACUUGGUCCAAAUGCAGGUUGUCCAAACUACACAGAUUCCCCCAAGCUUCCAACACCAUACUUCGGCAUUCAGCAACUGUAUUAAGCUCGAUACUUCCCAUUUCUUGUAUGAUUGGCACUCUCUGCGGGUACCCGAACUGUCUCAUAACUCGUUGUGGAAUGUACAUAAUCAACCCACUGGUACUUGCUAACGGAAUGAAGUCAAAUUGCGUAGUCUUGAAAGCCGGAUCCCUUACUUUCGUCCAAUCGAGAACCCAUUGUAUCUUAUCCGAAGUCAGAGCAUUGAAUUCCUGAAUAAACAAGCUUGGAGACGCU
rnacentral:lncRNA from 1 species